UUCUUAUCAAGAGAGAUGGAGGGACUGGCCCAAUGAUAUCUCGGCAGCGGAACUUAUGAUUAAGUUACUGUGCCAAAUCCAGCAGGCAAAGGCUUGAUAGAUAAGAG
rnacentral:ncRNA from 1 species